AUUGAACGCUGGCGGCAGGCCUAACACAUGCAAGUCGAGCGAGCCGCAGACGGGAGUGUUAUGCCUGGGAAUUGCCCAGUCGAGGGAGAUAACAGGGGGAAACGACUGCUAAUCCCGCAUACGAUUGGAUCGCCUAGGUGGGAUGAGCUAGGUGGUGAGGUAAUGGCUCACCAAGGCGACGAUCCCUAGCUGGUCGGAGGGGAUGAGCAGCCACACUGGAACUGAGACACGGUCCAGACUCCUACGGGAGGCAGCAGUGGGGAAUAUUGCACAAUGGGGGAAACCCUGAUGCAGCCAUGCCGCGUGUGUGAAGAAGGCCUUCGGGUUGUAAAGCACUUUCAGCGAGGAGGCGUUACUCGCAGAAGAAGCACCGGCUAACUCCGUGCCAGCAGCCGCGGUAAUAC
rnacentral:rRNA from 1 species